AGCUUGCUCUCUGCUGACGAGUUGCGAACGGGUGCGUAACGCGUAUGCAACCUACCCAUAACAGGGGGAUAGCCCAUAGAAAUGUGGAUUAAUACCCCAUAACAUCAUAGAUUGGCAUCAUGAAAUGAUUAAAACUCCGGUGGUUAUGGAUGGGCAUGCGUGACAUUAGCUAGUUGGUGAGGUAACUGCUCACCAAGGCAACGAUGUCUAGGGGUUCUGAGAGGAUGAUCCCCCACACUGGUACUGAGACACGGACCAGACUCCUACGGGAGGCAGCAGUGAGGAAUAUUGCGCAAUGGAGGAAACUCUGACGCAGCCAUGCCGCGUGCAGGAAGACUGCCCUAUGGGUUGUAAACUGCUUUUAUAUAGGAAGAACUACAGCUACGUGUAGCUGUUUGACGGUACUAUACGAAUAAGGACCGGCUAACUCCGUGCCAGCAGCCGCGGUAAUACGGAGGGUCCAAGCGUUAUCCGGAUUUAUUGGGUUUAAAGGGUCCGUAGGCGGGUUAUUAAGUCAGUGGUGAAAUCCUACAGCUCAACUGUAGAACUGCCAUUGAAACUGGUAACCUUGAGUAUAAUUGAAGUGGGCGGAAUGUGUCAUGUAGCGGUGAAAUGCUUAGAUAUGACACAGAACACCGAUUGCGAAGGCAGCUCACUAAGUUAUAACUGACGCUGAGGGAC
rnacentral:rRNA from 1 species